rnacentral:tRNA from 1 species
GACCGCGUAGCUCAGUCGGCAGAGCAUUGGACUAAUAUUCCAAAGGUCGUAGGUUCGAUUCCCACCGUAGCCA